CAAUCACUUGUCUCUUAAAUGGAGACCCGUAUGAAUGGCAAGACGAGGGUUUAACUGUCUCCUCUUCCUGGUCAAUGAAAUUGAUCUCCCCGUGCAGAAGCGGGGAUAAAUACAUAAGACGAGAAGACCCUGUGGAGCUUUAGACACUAAAGUAGCCCCCGUUAACUUAACCCCCGUUAAGGGACUAAACUAACUAAACUCUACCCUAUUGUCUUUGGUUGGGGCGACCACGGGGAAAGCAAAACCCCCACGAGGAACGGGAGGAACCCCUCCUUUAAACGAGAACCACUAGUCAAAGCAUCAGAAUUUUCUCUGACCAUCAUGAUCCGGCAAAGCCGAUCAACGAACCGAGUUACCCCAGGGAUAACAGCGCAAUCCUCUUUCAGAGUCCA
rnacentral:rRNA from 1 species